rnacentral:rRNA from 1 species
GGGGACUUUGUUCAGGGCGAAAGCCUGAUCAGCCAUGCCGCGUGAGUGAUGAAGGCCUUAGGGUUGUAAAGCUCUUUUACCCGGGAUGAUAAUGACAGUACCGGGAGAAUAAGCUCCGGAUAACUCCGUGCCAGCAGCCGCGGUAACUUCGUGCCAGCAGCCGCGGUAAUA